rnacentral:rRNA from 1 species
CCUACGUGAGGCUGCAGUGAGGAAUAUUGGUCAAUGGGCGCGAGCCUGAACCAGCCAAGUAGCGUGAAGGAUGACUGCCCUACGGGUUGUAAACUUCUUUUAUAAAGGAAUAAAGUGAGGCACGUGUGCCUUUUUGUAUGUACUUUAUGAAUAAGGCUCGGCUAACUCCGUGCCAGCAGCCGCGGUAAUACGGAGGAUGCGAGCGUUAUCCGGAUUUAUUGGGUUUAAAGGGAGCGUAGAUGGGUUGUUAAGUCAGUUGUGAAAGUUUGCGGCUCAACCGUAAAAUUGCAAUUGAUACUGGCAGUCUUGAGUACAGUUGAGGUAGGCGGAAUUCGUGGUGUAGCGGUGAAAUGCUUAGAUAUCACGAAGAACUCCGAUUGCGAAGGCAGCUUACUAAACUGCCACUGACAUUGAUGCUCGAAAGUGUGGGUAUCAAACAGGAUUAGAUACCCCUGUAGUC